CGGAUUGCAGGCUGCAACUCGCCUGCAUGAAGUCGGAAUUGCUAGUAAUCGCGGAUCAGCAUGCCGCGGUGAAUACGUUCUCGGGCCUUGUACACACCGCCCGUCACACCAUGGGAGUCGGUAACACCCGAAGUCUGUAGCCUGACGCAAGAGGGCGCAGCCGAAGGUGGGAUUGAUGACUGGGGUGAAGUCGUAACAAGGUAAC
rnacentral:rRNA from 1 species